UUUAAAAUGAAAUUAUGACUAUUAGAAUAAAAUAAAAAUAUAGAAUAAAAUAUUCAAUUUUCUAAUAAAACAAUAUUUUUAGAACAAUGUGUAAAUAAUUUUUACAACGUAAAAGCAAAAUAAAUUCAUACAUAUUGUAAUACAGAUAACCAAAGUAUAAAAUUUAAUUUACAGUGACACGUGGGCCCAUGAAUGACUAAAAGUAUCAAAAGAAAUGAACUUACAAUUUUUGGAUGUGGUAAGUCCAACUGUAGUCCUUGCCGAUAUCAAUUAUCUACAAUCUCUUCUGAACUUGAAAUAGGUGGAAAAGAGGGUGGUGAGAUUAUAAAAUCCCAGUGAGUAAACAAAUAACAUUUAAAAUAUCUAAAGGCGAGUAACAGAAGACUAUUAAAACAUUUCAUCAAACUGUAAUUUAUCAUCUUUCAACUUAUUUCAACCAAAUGAAAUCAUUUUAUUUACAUCAAGUAAUCAGUAUGGCUUAUGAAUUUCUUAAAAGCUUGGUUCAUACCAAAAAUUAUUAUCAUACUCAGUUAUCUAGGAUACCUUGGCCGAGAGCUAUCCCAACUGAGUCCGCCAAGGCUAUUAGAAAGUCAUGUACGCAUAAAUCAUGUUUUUAUUUUGAAAACAUAGCCAUUCCUUGGUGUUGGCCGAGUUUCCCCUCACGUGGUGGUUUGGCGUGAAGUGAACUCUAAAAGUUAUACCUUGGAAGUUACCCUACUCACCUUUCCAACCGAGGUAAAAUAUAACGGGGUUUACCGUGCCCCUCUAAUAGGCUAGUCCACGGAAACCUGCCUACUGAAGUAAGCUAAUAAUUAUCCCACCAAUCAAUAAAAUUCAAUAACAUGAUACGACAAUUAUUGUAAUUCACAACCUUUCAAGGCUAAAUACACAUUUCAUAUAUUUCAACACAAAUAUCAAUUUAGCCAUUCAUGCAAAUAUUGUCAUAAGCCAUUCGAUUCAAAUCAUAAAUUUUACAACAUAACAAGUGGUCUCCAAUUACUCUAUUUUUCAAAAUCAUUAUUCAAUUUCACGACAAUUUAUAAAAUCUUUUCAUGUAAACACAUUUUGUUUAUAAAACACAAAGAUUUACCAUUUAAACUCAUUUUCAUAAAAUUUCACCAAAAUCGAUUAAAAACAUACUUUAGAUAAUUAAAAUGAUGAUAAGGUUACUCACAGUACUAGGAGUUCAAUAUACUCUUUUUCCCGAUCUUCGGGCACAAUCUCUUUACCCUUGUUAGAGGGCUCACCACCUAUACAUCAUACGUGACACGAGUUUCAAUAAAUUGUGUCAAUUUAUCAUAAACUAUUCCAGGCUCUAUAAAUCUAUAUGAAUGCAUGAAAUGUGAUGCAAAAUGUCCGAAUAGCCGUUUAAAUACGGUAUUCGACCUAAUUCGCACUAUUCUCGGUGUAAUUGGCUAAAACCUCCAAUUUAACUACAAAUCAAUUUCUUUCACUUUCUACACUCCAAUUAUACCUAAAUUACCUCAGUGACUGUGAAUGAGAUUCAAUUUAUCAGUCCCAGGUCAAUAAUCACACAUGUCUAUACAUUAGGUAAAAAUUUAGAUUUUCACACCAAAAUUUCUCAUUUAAUUUCUAGCCUCACCAAACAUCAAAUAUCACCAAAAUAUCAUGAAAUAUCAUCAAUUGCAGCCACAAUAUCGUCCCUAGGAAAUUCGGCCAUAGAUGGUUGAUGGGGAAAAUGAAUUCUUUUCUUAUUGUUUUGUUUCUAAAUAUGCUAAACUAACUAAAAACAUUAAUAUAACUUAAAAUCAAAUCAAUCUAACAUCUUUCUCUCUCCAUACCCAUUUUGACAGCCAUGAAUUCAUCAUGAAAACAUGAAAUCUAACCAUGAAAAAUAAGGAGAAAUGCAUGGGAAAGGUAGAUCACAAGUCAAAAUCAAGAAAUUUUACCUUUAUUAGCUUAAUCCCUUGAAAUCCCACACUUUUUAUUUAAUUUUCUCACCUAGGGUUCUUGUUUUUUUUCCUUUCCUCCUUUGUUCUUCUUUGGCCGGUCAUAUG
rnacentral:lncRNA from 1 species